UACGGAGGGUGCAAGCGUUAUCCGGAUUCACUGGGUUUAAAGGGUGCGUAGGUGGGCAGGUAAGUCAGUGGUGAAAUCUCCGGGCUUAACCCGGAAACUGCCGUUGAUACUAUCAGUCUUGAAUAUUGUGGAGGUAAGCGGAAUAUGUCACGUAGCGGUGAAAUGCUUAGAUAUGACAUAGAACACCGAUAGCGAAGGCAGCUUGCUACACAAUUAUUGACACUGAGGCUCGAAAGCGUGGGGAUCAAACAGG
rnacentral:rRNA from 1 species